rnacentral:rRNA from 1 species
AGUGAACGCUGGCGGUAGGCCUAACACAUGCAAGUCGAACGGCAGCACAGUAAGAGCUUGCUCUUACGGGUGGCGAGUGGCGGACGGGUGAGGAAUACAUCGGAAUCUACUUUUUCGUGGGGGAUAACGUAGGGAAACUUACGCUAAUACCGCAUACGACCUACGGGUGAAAGCAGGGGAUCUUCGGACCUUGCGCGAUUGAAUGAGCCGAUGUCGGAUUAGCUAGUUGGCGGGGUAAAGGCCCACCAAGGCGACGAUCCGUAGCUGGUCUGAGAGGAUGAGCAGCCACACUGGAACAGAGACACGGUCCAGACUCCUACGGGAGGCAGCAGUGGGGAAUAUUGGACAAUGGGCGCAAGCCUGAUCCAGCCAUACCGCGUGGGUGAAGAAGGCCUUCGGGUUGUAAAGCCCUUUUGUUGGGAAAGAAAAGCAGCAGGUUAAUACCCCGCUGUUCUGACGGUACCCAAAGAAUAAGCACCGGCUAACUUCGUG